CGCUCAUGCGGCAACAUUUUACGCCAACUUAAAAAAUACUCGGAUCUUCCAUGAACACAUUAAAAUGCGGCGUUCAUUAAAAAAACGAGGACGCAAAGUUUGUAUUCAAAGUCCAUUUCAUAUUGUAAGCAAUAGAAAUUGCGCUUGAAUGUUGAAAAAUGACGCAUUUAAAAUGGACUGCGCAAAUUAAAGAAAUCUCUCACAACAGUAUCAUGCGUAUCGAAUCAUACUUAAAAGUUAAAUACAACUGAACCGAGUUUGGACUGGAUUCAAGAAGCAAGCAACAUGAUGCAUUUUUAAAUACCUCAGUUGAUUGAUUUGGUUGCAUUCCACUAGUAGCUUGAGAUUCACCGAGGUAGCCAAAUUAAAGGACCAGUUCAAUUAGCAGGCCUCUAAUAUGAUGGGCCAAGUGGGCUCAAUAAUUUAUCACAAUAGUAUAACAUCCGGCGACAGCGUGGAUGACCGGUUAGCGCGUUGGCCUCACAGUGCAGAGUUUGCAUGGUCUCCCCGUGCCUGCGCGGGUUUUCUCCAGGUACAUCGGUUUCCUCCCGCCUUCC